rnacentral:rRNA from 1 species
UCCCAGACUCCUACGGGAGGCAGCAGUAGGGAAUAUUGCUCAAUGGGGGAAACCCUGAAGCAGCAACGCCGCGUGGAGGAUGAAGGUUUUCGGAUUGUAAACUCCUUUUGUUAGAGAAGAUAAUGACGGUAUCUAACGAAUAAGCCCCGGCUAACUACGUGUCAGCAGCCGCGGUAAUACGUAGGGGGCAAGCGUUGUUCGGAAUGACUGGGCGUAAAGGGUGUGUAGGCGGUGUAGCAAGUUAGAAGUGAAAUACCUAGAGCUUAACUCAGGUGCUGCUUCUAAAACUGCUAUACUUGAGUGCAGUAGAGGAAAGUGGAAUUCCUAGUGUAGCGGUGGAAUGCGUAGAUAUUAGGAGGAACACCAGUGGCGAAGGCGGCCUGCUGGACGAUGACUGACGUUGAGGCUCGAAAGCGUGGGGAGCAAACAGGAUUAGAGACCCGCGUAAAG